rnacentral:rRNA from 1 species
CAGCGCCACGAGUGGCAAUCACUUUUAUUGGGCCUAAAGCGUCCGUAGCCGGUUUGAUAAAUCUUUUGUGAAAUCGUUGAGCUCAACUUAACGGCAUGCAGAAGACACUGUUAAACUAGGAACCGGAAGGAGUCAGAAGUAUUGCUGGGGGAGCGGUAAAAUGUUAUAAUCCCAGCAAGACUACCUGUGGCGAAGGCGUCUGACUAGUACGGCUUCGACGGUGAGGGACGAAAGCCAGGGGAGCAAAACGGAUUAGAUACCCGAGUAGUCC